rnacentral:lncRNA from 1 species
CUUGGCUGGAGUCUGAUGGGAAAGGAGCAGAAGCAUAUAUGUUGGCAGUAGCAGAAGAGCUAACAGAUGGUGGAUACAUAGCCAUGUAAACAGUCGGCAAGGUCUCUUGCUGAGGAUGAUUGGGAAUAGCAGCCUGGAAAGAUGAUCCUCCAACAUGAAAGGUAGGCUUGUCUCGAAGUUUUCUACUAAUCUUAAAAGGAGGAACUUUUCAAUAUUCUUCUUUUUGCGAGCUUCGUCAUUCUUGGAAGACAUGGCUAAAAAAAAAAAGAAAUUACAUGUUUCCGCGUCAUAAAAAAUGUAGAAAAAGAGUAAAAACUCACCUUUAGGAGUAUGUACAAGAUGUGCAGAGGAUAUAAAACCAAAAAUUAAUAAAAAACCCGAUUGGGAAAGAUAUGUCCAAGAUCUGUG